rnacentral:rRNA from 1 species
GGUGGAUGCCUUGGCAUGCUGAGCCGAUGAAGGACGUGAAAGGCUGCGUUAAGCCUCGGGGAGUUGUCAAUUAAGCGUUGAUCCGAGGAUGUCCGAAUGGGGAAACCUGGCCCUGGUUAUGUGGGGUUACCCUUCAGUGAAUUCAUAGCUGUUGUGGGGGUUUACGCGGGGAAGUGAAACAUCUCAGUACCCGUAGGAGAAGGAAACAAUAUGUGAUUUCGUGAGUAGCGGCGAGCGAAAGCGAAUGGUGGCUAAACCGUAUGUGUGUGAUACUUGGUAGAGGUUGCAUGUGCGGGGUUGUUGGGAGCGAUUGUAUGACUACUACCAUGGUUGUGCCAGUGUGCGCGUGUUAGGUGAAGUGGUUUGGAAUGGCCCACCGGAGUGGGUGAGAGUCCUGUAGCUGAAGGCAUGUGUGUGUUGGUUAAUUGUUUCCCGAGUAGCGGCGGGCUCGUGGAAUCUGCCGUGAAUCUGCCGGGACCACCC